rnacentral:tRNA from 1 species
AAUCAGAAAGAAAACUAUAGUUUAUUUCUCAACUACUAGUAGGCCCCUGAGAAACCUCUUACCUUGUGAGCAUUGGUGGUUCAGUGGUAGAAUUCUCGCCUGCCACGCGGGAGGCCCGGGUUCGAUUCCCGGCCAAUGCAUCGAAAACUCCGUUUUUAUUUUUAAAUACAAUGAAGUCAAUGAAAACACCACAUUUAAUAAAGACUUUUUACAACUGUUAGAGUAACACAAAAAUUAAUUUUAUUUUCUGUUUUCCUUUGUUCCUUAUGUUUUACAGCCACCGAGCAUCUCAUUUUAAUUCUUUUUUGGAGGUGGGGUUUUUCUCUGUAUUUACAAGCCAUGAAUUCUCUCAUGAAGAGAGAAAAUGAUUCCGUUUCAGUACUUCUGAUUUUGAAGGAAAUACCUAAAUAUUUUUUGGAAAACAUAAAAAUUACAGCUUAUUGGAGAUGCCGGGGAUUGAACCCGGGACCUCACACAUGCGAAGCGCGCGCUCUACCACUGAGCUACAUCCCCAAGCUGCUGGAAAUAGCUCUGCUCAGUGUAUUCAUUCAUUUCUAGAUAGGGCGACGUGUUGUACGGUUGAUUAAGGCAGCCUUUCUUCGCAUCCCGAGGACGUUUGUUUCCCUCCCCCACAUAUCUUGGAACUGACAGCUUCGGGGGCUCCUCUAUCUACCGGUGUAAGGGGAGAGCUCGCGGGCACGCGCAGUGGAGGAAGACGCGGGCGGCCGAGAGAAGAGAGAAGGGGAAUCCCGGCCUACUUUCAUUUCCGGAUGGGGGCGACCUCUUUGUGCGAACCAGGGAGCGUGACCCGCACAUCUGGUGCACAUCUGGGGAUGCGGCUGCGAGAGGGAACGCGGCGGCGGGGGCAACAUCGGCGGAGAAGACUACAGAGCAUCAGGGCGGGUGGGAGGCCCUGGCAGGUAAUGUAUCUGAGGGGGUGGGAUGGGGGUGGUGGGAAGAGUAUCUGGGUAUCGUAGACGGUGGGGGCAGCCUCCAUUUCCCACCUUCCCAUCCCAGCUCUUCCCCCCUACCCCUUGGAAACCGCCAUUCACCACUAUGUGAAGAAAGAAACUUCUCUUACACGACUGAAUCGAGUUCACCUCCUGAGAGGAAAAGAUUAAUGCAUAUCCUCCUCCUGCUGCUCUCCUACCCCCCUCCCCCGUCCACUCCUUCCCCUCCUCCACCUUGUCGUUCCCCUCCCCCCCAAGCAUGUGGAAGAUGCAGCCACUUUCUAUCCCUUGUUAAGGUUGUCUGA